CAAGGCUUGACAUGGGGAAGACCGGACGAGAGAUCGUCCUUCUCUAGCAAUAGAGCUUCCCACACAGGUGCUGCAUGGCUGUCGUCAGCUCGUGUCGUGAAAUGUUGGGUUAAGUCCCGCAACGAGCGCAACCCUCGUUUCUAGUUGCCAUCAUUCAGUUGGGCCCUCUAAAGAGACUGCCGCGAAUAACGCGGAGGAAGGUGGGGACGACGUCAAGUCAUCAUGGCCCUUACGUCUUGGGCUACACACGUGCUACAAUGGGCGUUACAAAGGGUCGCAAGAGCGCAAGCUAAAGCCAAUCCCCAAAAGCGCCCUCAGUUCAGAUUGAGGUCUGCAACUCGACCUCAUGAAGGUGGAAUCGCUAGUAAUCGCGGAUCAGAACGCCGCGGUGAAUACGUUCCC
rnacentral:rRNA from 1 species